rnacentral:lncRNA from 1 species
AGCUGGAAGAUCAGUGACAAAUCCUCGAUUAGACCCAUCUGUGCCAUCCAGGCUCGAUCUGACAGCCCAGGGGUCCUCCUGCCGCGGCUUAUGGGCGUGAUCCUAUGUGUGCAAUUGUAUAUAUGUUCAGAGAAGCAGCAUGUGUCUUUGUGAACAAAAGAAAGCAACCAGGAUACACUCAAUCAGUACAUUAUGAGCAUGAUUGGUUGCAGUUCAAGGAGAGGUCCAGAAUGGUGACGAGAUUCAGACUCAUCAUGUCCAGCACAGAAACGUACAUGCAGACUUGAUUGGGUUGCGUAUAGCCUGAGCCAGGAUGGAGAGAGUUGUUGAUUGGUUGGCUUCAUGAAAGGCUGCUUUGUGUGGCUGCAAGUGGAGCCUAUUGUCCUGCUUGUAUCAUCUCAUCCUGGCUGGUGAGGGAAGGCCAAAUUUUGCGU